UCUCACACCCCCCUUUAUAUUCCGCUUCGCGUGGGGUGCGGGGCAGGAGGGAGGGGGAGGGAAGGGGAAGGGAGGGGGAGCCCCGGGGAGGGGGUGGGAAAACCGAGAAAUGCCCACCUUCUCCGGACAACUCAGAAUCCACCUCAACCACUGCUCGCGCCGCGGCGGCGGCCGCUGCAAAACCCUCCCGGCCGCUCUGCACGAAGGCAACGCGGAGCGAGCGUCGCCUUCCCCUCGCCACCCCCGGCGCCGCCGCCGCCGCCGGCGAGCCCCGAGCUCAGUGUCGCUCAAACCUCCCCUCCCAGCCCCGCUGUCCCCGCUCGGCCCUCCCCCCACGCCCCGCGGACCCUUUCAAACCCCCUGGGCUCGCGGCGGCUGCUCCGGGAGGAAACGCUGGCCGGGGCGGCGAGGCUCGGAGCGGGGCGGCGGCGGGGCGCCCGGUACGCUGAGCCCAGCAACGAGGCGCGGGCGGGCGCGCAGAGACGCCGGGUCCUCGCGGAGCACGGCCGGGGCGCAGCGGCGGCGGUGGCAGCGGGAGCCCAGGGAGCGCUCCAUCACUGGCAGCCAUGGAGCCUGAGCAUUUUCCUCCCUCGGGGCAGGCGCCGCGGCUCGGCACACGUCCGCGGGGAGGAAGGGGCCGGCGCCCGAGCCUCCCCGGAGGGCGGCGGGACGUGCGCUAGCGCGACGGGCUGCGAGCCGCUCUGGUCCUCGUCCUCCGCAGCCGGCUCGACCUCACCCCGCUGCUCCUGCGGCCCGGGCGGGAGGGGGCGGCAGGCGGCGGCGGCUCCUUUCUCGGCGGCGUUGGUGGCCAGACGGGCUGGUGCAGCGACUGCAGCCGACGCCGUUCAAAGGAACGAGAGGUGGGGUUGGUCGGUGUCGGCAAACGGGGCGGGCGAGUGGGUGGGUGCCGAGGGAGGGCGGCGGGCAGGGAGGGGGCUGUGGUGGUUGUUACUAGUGCUCCUCUCGGGUUCCGCCGUAUCCCCCGGUCUCUCGCGGCAGCGGGAGAGGAGGGACCAGCGCCCGAGCGCAGGAGGAGGAGGGGCGACCGCCGGCAGAGGAGGCGGUGGCGGUGGCUGGGGGAGGGGGCAAGCAAAGGAGAAGGAGGGAAGAUGGCGUCUGCGCAUGCGCCCCGGCGCCGCAGACAUAAAGCCGGGUCUGGCGGAGAAGGCGGCGGCGGGUCUUCGGGCCUUGCCGAGCACUGGGUCUCCCGACGGAAAUUGCCGAAGGCUGGCGGAGGCGCCGACGCCUCGGGGUGGUGGGGGUGGGGAAUUUCGGCCGGGGGAGCGAAUCCGGGUCGGCCUCGGAGAGUCGGCCUGA
rnacentral:lncRNA from 1 species